rnacentral:rRNA from 1 species
AUUGAACGCUGGCGGCAUGCUUUACACAUGCAAGUCGAACGGCAGCACGGGUGCUUGCACCUGGUGGCGAGUGGCGGACGGGUGAGUAAUGCAUCGGAACGUGUCCUUAAGCGGGGGAUAACGCAUCGAAAGAUGUGCUAAUACCGCAUAAUCUCUGAGGAGAAAAGCAGGGGAUCGCAAGACCUUGCGCUUUUGGAGCGGCCGAUGUCUGAUUAGCUAGUUGGUGGGGUAAUGGCCUACCAAAGCUUCGAUCAGUAGCUGGUCUGAGAGGACGGCCAGCCACACUGGGACUGAGACACGGCCCAGACUCCUACGGGAGGCAGCAGUGGGGAAUUUUGGACAAUGGGCGAAAGCCUGAUCCAGCCAUGCCGCGUGAGUGAAGAAGGCCUUCGGGUUGUAAAGCUCUUUCAGCCGGGAAGAAAAGACCGCGACUAAUAAUCGCGGUUCAUGACGGUACCGGAAGAAGAAGCACCGGCUAACUACGUGCCAGCAGCCGCGGUAAUACGUAGGGUGCGAGCGUUAAUCGGAAUUACUGGGCGUAAAGGGUGCGCAGGCGGUUUUGUAAGUCAGAUGUGAAAUCCCCGGGCUUAACUGGGAACUGCGUUUGAAACUACAAAACUAGAGUGUAGCAGAGGGGGGUGGAAUCCAUGU